GAGAGAGAGAGAGAGAGAGGCGUGAAAGAGAGAGAAGGUGGAGGAGAAAGGAAGAAGAAGAAGGAGGUCCUAGGUAUGGUUUUCUUAUGGUUCCUUGUUAUUUUUUUUUAGAUUAAGGUUUGUCUUCCCCAUCAUCUUAUGUCUUUUCUUCUAUGUUCUUCUUCUUCAUGGGUUUCAAAAAAAACCCUAGGGUAUUCAAUGGUGAUUAUCACUUGGGUGUUGAUCAAGUUGUGUUCUUGAUUUUACAAUCAAGAGAGGCUCGUUGAGAAGUUGUGGUUUUACUUAGCUUGGACCUGAGGUAGCAAAUAGGUUUCUCUGUGGUACGCGUGGUGAUGUGGGGAGUUCUGUCGUCCUGGUGUGUAUGGCGUGGGGCAUCCUAUGGA